GAUUGAACGCUGGCGGCAGGCCUAACACAUGCAAGUCGAACGGUAACAGGAAGCAGCUUGCUGCUUUGCUGACGAGUGGCGGACGGGUGAGUAAUGUCUGGGAAACUGCCUGAUGGAGGGGGAUAACUACUGGAAACGGUGGCUAAUACCGCAUAACGUCGCAAGACCAAAGAGGGGGACCUUCGGGCCUCUUGCCAUCAGAUGUGCCCAGAUGGGAUUAGCUWGUUGGUGAGGUAACGGCUCACCAAGGCGACGAUCCCUAGCUGGUCUGAGAGGAUGACCAGCCACACUGGAACUGAGACACGGUCCAGACUCCUACGGGAGGCAGCAGUGGGGAAUAUUGCACAAUGGGCGCAAGCCUGAUGCAGCCAUGCCGCGUGUAUGAAGAAGGCCUUCGGGUUGUAAAGUACUUUCAGCGGGGAGGAAGGUGUUGUGGUUAAUAACCACAGCAAUUGACGUUACCCGCAGAAGAAGCACCGGCUAACUCCG
rnacentral:rRNA from 3 species